rnacentral:miRNA from 1 species
GUGUGUGUGUGUGUGUGUGUGUGUGUGUGUGUGUGUGUGUGUGUGUGCGCACACACACACACGUCAGCUUACAU